GACGAACGCUGGCGGCGUGCUUAACACAUGCAAGUCGAACGAAGUGGCGAACGGGUGAGUAACGCGUAAUCAACCUGCCCUUCAGAGGGGGACAACAGUUGGAAACGACUGCUAAUACCGCAUACUGAAGGAGGGGAUUGCGUCUGAUUAGCUAGUUGGAGGGGUAACGGCCCACCAAGGCGAUGAUCAGUAGACUGUUUGAGAGGAUGAACGGCCACAGUGGGACUGGGAUACGGCCCAGACCCCUAAGGGAGGCAGCAGGGGGGAAUCUCCCGCAAUGGACGAAAGUCUGACGAAGCAACGCCGCGUGAGUGAUGACGGCCUUCGGGUUGUAAAGCUCUGUUAAUCGGGACGCGGUACCGGAAUAGAAAGCCACGGCUAACUACGUGCCAGCAGCCGCGGUAAUAC
rnacentral:rRNA from 1 species